AUUUUAGUGGUUGAAGACAACGGUGGUUUUUCAUAUCAUAGGUCUUGGUUAAAAUCCAAGCUAGAAUA
rnacentral:tRNA from 1 species